UCACUUUUUAACACUAAAAUUUUGUAUUUACCUCAAUUCCGUUUCAGACAAACAAGAAAGUUAACUUCUAUCAAUAACCAUAAUGACUAUUAGUUUUACCGAAUAAAAACGCUGAGAAAUCCGGUCGAUCAUCAUCUGGCAAGGUCCAAGGUGGUUCACCAGU